UGUAGCUUUGAGGUCUGGAUUAUAGAUCAUUCCGGAUUUUGGGUGUCCGAAUUAACGACUUUUGACUGUAUUGUUUCUUAUUUUUUGUUUAUCAAUAAUUUGCUGCUUCUUAAUUCAGUUUUUCAGUAAUGGAAUUUUAUUUGUCCAGAAAAUCGUCUCGCAGCUGAAUGAAACUAGUUUUAAAUACGGGAAAUCAGAACAGGUGCAUCAAAGUGACGUCAGAUUACUGCCUGUUAAGUCCCGCCAUUAGGCUCACGACGGCGAGGAGUCGAACAAAGGAAUGAACUAGCCCUUUCUAUUUAUCCCAGGCUUGGACAGUCUUCUCAAGCACAAUCAGCAGUUAUCACUUCAAACUACUAAGAACAUUAGCACAAUGCAAUAUGAAGCAUAUCUAAGCAAAGUUUGCAUGGGGUGUUGCAACUCAACUCUUGCUGAGAUCUGAUGGCUGAGUCAUCUCGAACUAUGAACUCUCGCUCAGAGAUCGUACGAGAACUCGGAAUGGAGAAGUCGCACGAUGCGUCUUGCCAAAUUUAAACCCUUUUCAUUAUGUAAAUAUUCUGUAACCCAUUUGCGUCUUCAUUAAAAUAUGUUUGUGUAAA